AUGGCGCCAUCGGUGGCUUGCUCCUUCUUCUUCGACAACGAGCAGAUCGGCGAGCCCGGCAUGCCGGCGAUGGACGCGUGCGCGCUCUGCGCCAAGCCGCUGGCGCGCGACAUCGACAUCUUCAUGUACAGAGGGGACACGCCCUACUGCAGCGAGGAGUGCCGACACGAGCAGAUGCACCUCGACGCCGUCUGCGUCAAGCAGGCCGCGCGGAGGCAGCAGCGGUUCUCGGCGGGGACGGAGGUCCACCGUGGACAGCGGCAGUCCAGCAAGGUGUCCGUCGCUAGCUAA
rnacentral:rRNA from 1 species